rnacentral:rRNA from 1 species
UACGUAGGGUGCGAGCGUGUCCGGAAUUAUUGGGCGUAAAGAGCUCGUAGGCGGUGUGUCACGUCGUUCGUGAAACCUGCAGCUUAACUGUGGGCGUGCGGUCGAUACGGGCAUCACUGGAGUUCGGCAGGGGAGACUGGAAUUCCAGGUGUAGCGGUGAAAUGCGUAGAUAUCUGGAGGAACACCGGUGGCGAAGGCGGCGUUCUGGACUGCAACUGACACUGAGGAACGAAAGCCAGGGGAGCAAACGGG